GUGGGGAAUCUUCCGCAAUGGACGAAAGUCUGACGGAGCAACGCCGCGUGAGUGAAGAAGGUUUUCGGAUCGUAAAGCUCUUUCGUUAGGGACGAACGUGCUCUUUGUGAAUAAUGAGGAGUAAUGACGGUACCUAAAUAAGAAGCCACGGCUAACUACGUGCCAGCAGCCGCGGUAAUACGUAGGUGGCAAGCGUUGUCCGGAAUUAUUGGGCGUAAAGCGCGCGCAGGCGGGAUAUCAAGUCUGUCUUAAAAGUGCGAGGCUCAACCUCGUGAGGGGACGGAAACUGGUAUUCUUGAGUGUCGGAGAGGAAAGUGGAAUUCCAAGUGUAGCGGUGAAAUGCGUAGAGAUUUGGAAGAACACCAGUGGCGAAGGCGACUUUCUGGACGAUGUCUGACGCUGAGGCGCGAAAGCUAGGGGAGCGAACGGGAUUAGAUACCCGUGUAGUCC
rnacentral:rRNA from 1 species